UGGGGAAUUUUGGACAAUGGACGAAAGUCUGAUCCAGCGACGCCGCGUGGAGGACGAAGGUUUUCGGAUCGUAAACUCCUUUUGCAGGGGACGAAUACCAGCAAUGGUUUGACAGUACUCUGCGAAUAAGCCACGGCUAACUACGUGCCAGCAGCCGCGGUAAUACGUAGGUGGCGAGCGUUACUCGGAAUUACUAGGCGUAAAGCGCGUGUAGGCGGGAGCUUAAGUCCGCUGUUAAAUCCCACGGCUCAACCGUGGAAUGCCGGCGGAUACUGGGUUUCUUGAGUUCGGUAGAGGAAACUGGAAUUCCAGGUGUAGCGGUGAAAUGCGUAGAUAUCUGGAAGAACGCCAAAGGCGAAGGCAGGUUUCUGGGCCGCAACUGACGCUGAGACGCGAAAGCUAGGGGAGCAAACAGG
rnacentral:rRNA from 1 species